rnacentral:pre_miRNA from 1 species
CAUGUAAAGGGCAACCACUACACAAACUCCAAGAAAAAUGUGAGUAUUAGAGUUUGGGGUUUGUACAUAUAACCUCUUAAUUUAUGGGUAUAUGAUAUGCUAAGGUGGCAGCCACCUCUACUAUAAAAGCAGUUUUAUAUUCACAUUUUUCUUGGAGUUUGUGUAGUGGUUGCCCUUUACAUG